UUUUGGGUAAUUUUGGGGUUCCCAAUUUUGGUUUUUCCCCCCCAAAGUCAAGCAGGUGUUCAAGGACCUGGAGUUCCUGGGGUUUGGGGUUCCCAAUUUUGGGGAUUUUGGGGUUCCUGGGCUGGAUUUUGAGGAGGAUUUUGGGGAUUUUGGGUAAUUUUGGUGUCCCCAAUUUCUGUUUUCCCCCCAAAGUCAAGCAGGUGUUCAAGGACCUGGAGUUCCUGGAUUUUGAGGAGGAUUUUGGGGAUUUUGGGUAAUUUUGGUGUCCCCAAUUUCAGUUUUUUUCCCCCCCAAGUCAAGCAGGUGUUCAAGGACCUGGAGUUCCUGGGU
rnacentral:lncRNA from 1 species